UUAAUUACUAAUGAUAUAUAUACACACACAUAUUCUUUAUAGGAGUAAAGAUGAUUUAAUAGGCACAAGUCUCUAUCAUAUGGUGAGCAUUUGGAUAUGUUUUACAGUUUUAUGACUCGUUAUGAAUAGUAUUGAAGUUGUCAAUAAACAAAAUAGUACUACGUGAUAAUGCCAAUAAAACUAAUAACUAGAGACAUGUAAAUAAUACUACAAUAAAAUUGAUAUAUUGAAGUAAUAUAUCGCAGUAGCACUAGAACAUUUCGUACAAAAUAAGAAUAGUAACAUUCAACAAAAUAUUUCCUUUGUGUAUGAUCCAUGUGAAACAAAUCUUCAGUAUUUUCGCAUAUACAACCUUUUAAUUAAAUAAUCUAACAUUAAGCAUACAAUGGAAGAGGAAAAGGGUAUCAUUUUCAUAAUUUCGAAAUUGCUUUAAAAAUUGUAGCAUUAGAAUUCGCAAAAGUUACUGCAGAAAAUUCAAUUUUU
rnacentral:lncRNA from 1 species